UCCAGUCAGACGGCGGAAGGUGGCCGGUACUACCGGCAUAAAAGGGAACCGGGUGCGAAUCCCGGACAGACGCGCUACUGUAAGUCCCGCGCAGUUUGCACCAGCUCAGAAGUCCAUUGGCCGGCCGCUGCCCGCUGAGAAGGACGGUGCAAACGGGACAAGUCAGGAGACCUGCCUUCCGCUGCAUUGAUGA
rnacentral:ncRNA from 2 species